rnacentral:tRNA from 1 species
GCCGGAGUGGUGGAACUGGCAGACACGCAGGAUUUAGGUUCCUGUGCCCCCAGGGCGUGAGGGUUCGAGCCCCUUCUCCGGCACCA